rnacentral:rRNA from 1 species
UCCGAGCGUCAUUUCUGCCCUCAAGCACGGCUUGUGUGUUGGGUGCGGUCCCCCCGGGGGCCUGCCCGAAAGGCAGCGGCGACGUCCGUCUGGUCCUCGAGCGUAUGGGGCUUUGUCACUCGCUCGGGAAGGACUGGCGGGGGUUGGUCACCACCACAAAAUUUUACCACGGUUGACCUCGGAUCAGGUAGGAGUUACCCGCUGAACUUAAGCAUAUCAAUAAGCGGAGGAAAAGAAACCAACCGGGAUUGCCUCAGUAACGGCGAGUGAAGCGGCAAGAGCUCAAAUUUGAAAUCUGGCCCCCUCGGGGUCCGAGUUGUAAUUUGCAGAGGAUGCUUCGGGAGCGGUCCCCAUCUAAGUGCCCUGGAACGGGCCGUCAUAGAGGGUGAGAAUCCCGUCUGGGAUGGGCGGCCGCGCCCGUGUGAAGCUCCUUCGACGAGUCGAGUUGUUUGGGAAUGCAGCUCUAAGCGGGUGGUAAAUUUCAUCUAAAGCUAAAUACUGGCCGGAGACCGAUAGCGCACAAGUAGAGUGAUCGA